UGCCACACAAGUGCUUGGCAUCGAUGAGGUUGCCCUCAGCUCCAGUAGUACUUCCGGUUUCUGCCAAGUGCUUGGCAUCGAUGAGGGGUAUCAUGUAGGGUACAGAAGUGGACAGAAAGACAACUUUUGUUUCAUUCUUUUGUCCUUCAGAGACCUCGUAAGGCCGUUACACCAGUAAACAUUGAAGAGACUCUAAACUGGCCGGGAACACCUCAGGAUGCCAAGAUGAUCUGGAUGAAGCAUUUGUGGAGAAUGCUGACACUGUGCAGGGCAGCGGGCCUUGGCAUGAGAUGUAGGAGACCUCCUCGCUUCCGACUUGCACACGGAUAUAGCUGGCGUUGAUGUAGUCGCCGCUCUCUCCAAGGCCGACACGGGUUUUGUCGUCUACGGAUGGGAAAUGGAAGAGAAGACAAACUCAGAGGCGGUCACAUGAUCAGACCUGUUCACAUCCAU